rnacentral:rRNA from 1 species
AAAUAGAUACCCAGGUAGUCCACGCCGUAAACGUUGGGCGCUAGAUGUGGGGACCAUUCCACGGUUUCCGUGUCGCAGCUAACGCAUUAAGCGCCCCGCCUGGGGAGUACGGCCGCAAGGCUAAAACUCAAAGGAAUUGACGGGGGCCCGCACAAGCGGCGGAGCAUGCGGAUUAAUUCGAUGCAACGCGAAGAACCUUACCAAGGCUUGACAUAUACGAGAACGCUCUAGAAAUAGAGAACUCUUUGGACACUCGUAUACAGGUGGUGCAUGGUUGUCGUCAGCUCGUGUCGUGAGAUGUUGGGUUAAGUCCCGCAACGAGCGCAACCCUCGUUCUAUGUUGCCAGCGGUUCGGCCGGGAACUCAUAGGAGACCGCCGGGGUCAACUCGGAGGAAGGUGGGGAUGACGUCAAAUCAUCAUGCCCCUUAUGUCUUGGGCUUCACGCAUGCUACAAUGGCCGGUACAAGGGGCUGCAAUACCGCAAGGUGGAGCGAAUCCCAAAAAGCCGGUCUCAGUUCGGAUUGAGGU